GAAUGCGAUAAGUAAUGUGAAUUGCAGAAUUCAGUGAAUCAUCGAAUCUUUGAACGCACCUUGCGCUCCUUGGUAUUCCUUGGAGCAUGCCUGUUUGAGUAUCAUGAAAUCUUCAAAGUAAAUCUUUUGUUAACUCAAUUGGUUUCUACUUUGGUAUUGGAGGUUUUUGCAGCUUCACACCUGCUCCUCUUUGUUCAUUAGCUGGAUCUCAGUGUUAUGCUUGGUUCCACUCGGCGUGAUAAGUUAUCUAUCGCUGAGGACACUGUAAAAGGUGGCCAAGGUAAAUGCAGAUGAACCGCUUCUAAUAGUCCAUUGACUUGGACAAUACUUUUAUGAUCUGAUCUCAAAUCAGGUAGGACUACCCGCUGAACUUAAGC
rnacentral:misc_RNA from 1 species